rnacentral:snoRNA from 1 species
GCGGAUGAUUAGGUUUUUUAACCCCAAGCUUUCCCUCCCUCCGGAAAGCAAUGAAGAUCAAAAAAAAUGCAACAACGCACACUCUAAUUUUUUGAUGACG